UUCGCAAUGCCCGAAAGGGUGACGAAGCGACGCCGCGUGCGGGAAGAAGGCCUUCGGGUUGUAAACCGCUGUCGGGAGUUAAGAAAUGUAAGGAUGUUAAUAGCAUCUUUGCUUGACUAAGGCUCCGGAGGAAGCCACGGCUAACUCUGUGCCAGCAGCCGCGGUAAUACAGAGGCGGCAAGCGUUGUUCGGAAUUAUUGGGCGUAAAGAGCACGUAGGCGGCUAUGUAAGUCGGUUGUGAAAGCCUUCCGCUCAACGGGAGAACAGCAUCCGAUACUGCAUGGCUUGAGUGCGGGAGGGGAGAGUGGAACUUCUGGUGGAGCGGUGAAAUGCGUAGAUAUCAGAAGGAACGCCGGCGGCGAAAGCGGCUCUCUGGCCCAUAACUGACGAUGAGUGUGCGAAAGCUAGGGGAGCAAACGGGAUUAGAUACCCCGGUAGUCCUAGCCGUAAACGAUGGGCACUAAGUAGAGGGGUUUU
rnacentral:rRNA from 1 species